AAGUCGAACGGAAAGGCCUCUUUGGAGGUACUCGAGUGGCGAACGGGUGAKUAACACGUGGGUAAUCUGCCCUGCACUUCGGGAUAAGCCUGGGAAACUGGGUCUAAUACCGGAUAGGACCCCGAGGCGCAUGCCUUGGGGUGGAAAGCUUUUGCGGUGUGGGAUGGGCCCGCGGCCUAUCAGCUUGUUGGUGGGGUGAUGGCCUACCAAGGCGACGACGGGUAGCCGGCCUGAGAGGGUGUCCGGCCACACUGGGACUGAGAUACGGCCCAGACUCCUACGGGAGGCAGCAGUGGGGAAUAUUGCACAAUGGGCGCAAGCCUGAUGCAGCGACGCCGCGUGGGGGAUGAAGGCCUUCGGGUUGUAAACCUCUUUCAGCAGGGACGAAGCGCAAGUGACGGUACCUGCAGAAGAAGCACCCGGCCAACUACGUGCCAGCAGCCGCGGUAAUACGUAGGGUGCGAGCGUUGUCCGGAAUUACUGGGCGUAAAGAGCUCGUAGGUGGUUUGUCGCGUUGUUCGUGAAAACCGGGGGCUUAACCCUCGGCGUGCGGGCGAUACGGGCAGACUAGAGUACUGCAGGGGAGACUGGAAUUCCUGGUGUAGCGGUGGAAUGCGCAGAUAUCAGGAGGAACACCGGUGGCGAAGGCGGGUCUCUGGGCAGUAACUGACGCUGAGGAGCGAAAGCGUGGGGAGCGAACAGGAUUAGAUACCCUGGUAGUCCACGCCGUAAACGGUGGGUACUAGGUGUGGGUUUCCUUCCUUGGGAUCCGUGCCGUAGCUAACGCAUUAAGUACCCCGCCUGGGGAGUACGGCCGCAAGGCUAAAACUCAAAGGAAUUGACGGGGGCCCGCACAAGCGGCGGAGCAUGUGGAUUAAUUCGAUGCAACGCGAAGAACCUUACCUGGGUUUGACAUGCACAGGACGCCGGCAGAGAUGUCGGUUCCCUUGUGGCCUGUGUGCAGGUGGUGCAUGGCUGUCGUCAGCUCGUGUCGUGAGAUGUUGGGUUAAGUCCCGCAACGAGCGCAACCCUUGUCUCAUGUUGCCAGCGGGUAAUGCCGGGGACUCGUGAGAGACUGCCGGGGUCAACUCGGAGGAAGGUGGGGAUGACGUCAAGUCAUCAUGCCCCUUAUGUCCAGGGCUUCACACAUGCUACAAUGGCCGGUACAAAGGGCUGCGAUGCCGCGAGGUGGAGCGAAUCCUUUAAAGCCGGUCUCAGUUCGGAUCGGGGUCUGCAACUCGACCCCGUGAAGUCGGAGUCGCUAGUAAUCGCAGAUCAGCAACGCUGCGGUGAAUACGUUCCCGGGCCUUGUACACACCGCCCGUCACGUCAUGAAAGUCGGUAACACCCGAAGCCAG
rnacentral:rRNA from 1 species